rnacentral:rRNA from 1 species
AUCAUCGAAUCUUUGAACGCACAUUGCGCCCGCCAGUAUUCUGGCGGGCAUGCCUGUUCGAGCGUCAUUACAACCCUCAGGCCCCCGGGCCUGGCGUUGGGGAUCGGCGGAGCCUCCCGUGGGCACACGCCGUCCCCCAAAUACAGUGGCGGUCCCGCCGCAGCUUCCAUCGCGUAGUAGCUAACACCUCGCGACUGGAGAGCGGCGCGGCCACGCCGUAAAACACCCAACUCUUCUGAAGUUGACCUCGAAUCAGGUAGGAAUACCCGCUGAACUUAAGCAUAUCAAUAAGCGGAGGAAAAGAAACCAACAGGGAUUGCCCCAGUAACGGCGAGUGAAGCGGCAACAGCUCAAAUUUGAAAUCUGGCUCUCGGGCCCGAGUUGUAAUUUGUAGAGGAUGCUUUUGGUGAGGUGCCUUCCGAGUUCCCUGGAACGGGACGCCAUAGAGGGUGAGAGCCCCGUCUGGUUGGACGCCGAACCUCUGUAAAGCUCCUUCGACGAGUCGAGUAGUUUGGGAAUGCUGCUCUAAAUGGGAGGUAUAUGUCUUCUAAAGCUAAAUACCGGCCAGAGACCGAUAGCGCACAAGUAGAGUGAUCGAAAGAUGAAAAGAACUUUGAAAAGAGAGUUAAACAGUACGUGAAAUUGUUGAAAGGGAAGCGCUUGUGACCAGACUUGGGCUUGGUUGAUCAUCCGGGGUUCUCCCCGGUGCACUCUUCCGGCCCAGGCCAGCAUCAGUUCGCCCUGGGGGACAAAGGCAUCGGGAACGUGGCUCUCUCCGGGGAGUGUUAUAGCCCGUUGCGUAAUACCCUGCGGCGGAC